rnacentral:lncRNA from 1 species
AAAAUAUGUAAAGUACCUACACUUGACAAUGUUUCUGACCCACUGACAAAGCCUCUUGCGCAGCAGAAGCAUGAUGGCCAUACUAGAUCAAUGGGCAUACAGGGUAUGUCUGAUUGGCUCUAGUGCUAGUGGGAGAUUGUUGGUGUAAGCCCUAGAGGCCAAUACUUUUGGUACUUGUAUCGAAUUAUUUAUUAAUAAUAAAAGG